rnacentral:rRNA from 1 species
CCCUAUUUACAGAUGUUUAAAUUAGUGUUAUAAUAUAUAAUGUAUACAUACUAAUGCAACUGCGAAUAGCUGUUUAAUACAGUCGUAAUUGUAUUGACUUAGUAUAAUGUUAAUAAUAGUUAUUUAUAGGAUAACUAAGGGAAAGUUUGGCUAAUACGUUUUAACAGUAUUAUAAUUCUUAAUACACAUAUAAUAAUAUUAUAAUAUGAUAAAUUUUAUAUAAAUAUUUUAAUACAUUUAUUUGUAUUAAUAUAUAGAGUUGACUUUAUAAUAUUUAUUUAUUAUAAAGCAUGUCAAACAAGCAUCUAUAGCAUCAAGUCACAAUGUUGGCAUGUGUAUUAUUGAACCUUCAAAGCAUUUACGCAUUCGGAGGAGUAGUUUCUGAUCCCGUCGAAGGUGCCUGAGAGACGGCACUUAGUUCUAAGGAACGCAGCAGGCGCGUAAAUUGCCCAAUGACAAAACAUGUUAUAAUAAAAUAUAUAAUGUAUAUAUAUUGAAUACUCAAUAUUUAAUUGAGGCAGUGACAAGCUGUAAAGAUUGAAUAUAUUAAUUAAGAUAACAUUUGGAAUUGUCGUUUUAUAAUAUUUUUUAAUAUUAUAUUACUUGAUAAUAUACCAAUGUUAUAAAAUAUUCAAUUUGAAUGCGGUGAAUGUAAUAAUUUCAAGUAACAUGUAUAAAAUAUUUAUAUUUUAUUAGUUAUCUGAAUUUUCAAGUGGAGGGCAAGUCUGGUGCCAGCAGCCGCGGUAAUACCAGCUCCACUAGCUUAUACAAUCAUUGUUGCGGUUAAGAGGCUCGUAGUUGGAUUGAAUAAAACAUAUAUACACAAUACUGUGAACAAACCAGAGUGUAUAAAACAUGUAAUAUAUUAUAUAUUUAGCAAUGAAUGUUUUAUCAUGGAAUAUUGCUAUAAUGAAUAUUAAUAUCGAUGGAGAUAGUUGGAGUUAAGAGUACUGAUAGGCGAGCGGUGAAAUGCAUUGACCCUAUUAAGACUAACAAAAGCGAAAGCACUUAACUAGAUUAUUCUCUUUGUAUUAUUUUACAAUGAAGAGCGAAGGUUGGGGGAACAAAGAGGAUCAGAUACCCUCGUAGUCCUAUUUUUACAUCAAACUAUGGGAUUUCAUUCACACUAAACACUAAACAUUAUAAUUAUAAUUAUGAUUGAGUAUAUGUCAAAAUAUUACUCUCAUAUUAAAUAAUUAUUAUAUAUAUGAUUAUAUGUACUUUGAGCUCAUAUAAUUAUAUAGGUGAGAUGUAAGCAUUAUAAAGUGAAUAAUAUACAAGUAAUAUUGUAUUAUUAUGAUCUUUAAAAUAAAAAAUGUAAUGUGAUGCACGUUUUAGGUACGAGCUUACUAUAGAAAUAUUUAAAAUAAUACCCUCCUGGGGUAGUAUGCACGCAAGUGUGAAACUUGAAGGAAUUGACGGAAGGGCACCACAAGAACGCGUGGAGCAUGUGGCUUAAUUUGACUCAACCCGGGAAAUCUUACCAGGUCCAGACAUAUUGAGGAUUGACAGGCGAUAGUAUAUAAUUCAUUUAUAUGCAUAAAAAUGAUAGUCCUUUCAUGAUUAUAUGAUAGGUGGUGCAUGGCCGUUCUUAGUUCGUGGAGUGAUUUGUCUGCUUAAUUGCGUUUCAGUAAAUAAAAUAUAUAAUAUAUUAUAAUAUUUAGUUCUGCCUUGAAUAUUAUUCAAGGAUUUAAAGUGAACAUA